rnacentral:rRNA from 1 species
AUUGAACGCUGGCGGCAGGCCUAAAACAUGCAAGUCGAGCGAGCGGCGGACAGGUGAGUAAUGUCUGGGAAACUGCCUGAUGGAGGGGGAUAACUACUGGACACGGUCGCUAAUACCGCAUACCAUCAGAUGUGCCCAGAUGGGAUUAGCUAGUAGGUGGGGUAACGGCUCACCUAGGCGACGAUCCAUAGCUGGUCUGAGAGAAUGACCAGCCACACUGGAACUGAUACACGGUCCAGACUCCUACGGGAGGCAGCAGUGGGGAAUAUUGCACAAUGGGCGCAAGCCUGAUGCAGCCAUGCCGCGUGUGUGAAGAAGGCCUUCGGGUUGUAAAGCACUUUCAGCGGGGAGGCGUUACCCGCAGAAGAAGCACCGGCUAACUCCGUGCCAGCAGCCGCGGUAAUUC